GACGAACGCUGGCGGCGUGCUUAACACAUGCAAGUCGAACGCUGAAGCCCUUCGGGGUGGAUGAGUGGCGAACGGGUGAGUAACACGUGGGUAAUCUGCCCUGCACUCUAGGAUAAGCCUUGGAAACGGGGUCCAAUACCGGAUAGGACACAUCGCCGCAUGGUGUGUGUGUGGAAAGUUCCGGCGGUGCAGGUUGAGCCCGCGGCCUAUCAGCUUGUUGGUGGGGUGAUGGCCUACCAAGGCGACGACGGGUAGCCGGCCUGAGAGGGCGACCGGCCACACUGGGACUGAGACACGGCCCAGACUCCUACGGGAGGCAGCAGUGGGGAAUCUUGCGCAAUGGGCGAAAGCCUGACGCAGCAACGCCGCGUGGGGGAUGACGGCCUUCGGGUUGUAAACCUCUUUCGACCGGGACGAAGGAUUCGUUUGACGGUACCGGUAGAAGAAGCACCGGCUAACUACGUGCCAGCAGCCGCGGUAAGAC
rnacentral:rRNA from 1 species